AGAGUUUGAUCAUGGCUCAGGACGAACGCUGGCGGCGCGCCUAACACAUGCAAGUCGAACGAGAGAGAGGGAACUUGCUUCCUUGAUCGAGUGGCGAACGGGUGAGUAACGCGUGAGGAACCUGCCUCAAAGAGGGGGACAACAGUUGGAAACGACUGCUAAUACCGCAUAAGCCCACGACCCGGCAUCGGGAAGAGGGAAAAGGAGCAAUCCGCUUUGAGAUGGCCUCGCGUCCGAUUAGCUAGUUGGUGAGGUAAUGGCCCACCAAGGCGACGAUCGGUAGCCGGACUGAGAGGUUGAACGGCCANAUUGGGACUGAGACACGGCCCAGACUCCGUACGGGAGGCA
rnacentral:rRNA from 1 species